UGACAACCAGCAUAAACACAUAAAGCUACUGAAGCAGCCUGUAAAAUAUUUAACUGGCCUGACCAAACAGAAGGGCAGCCAUGUUGAUCAUCUUGGCCUUCAUCAUCUUCUUCCAUCUGGCUGCAGCCAUCCUUCUCUUUGUUUCAACCAUUCACAAUUGUUGGUGGGUGGUGUCGCCAGCUGGACAUGAGGUGAUCUACGCUGACCUGUGGUACUCCUGUAACUCCACGUGCUAUCCUGUGGAGAACAGCCAUACCACUGAUGCAGCCUAUCUGCAGGCUGUCCAGGCAACUAUGAUCCUGGCCACCAUCUUCUGUUGUGUCAGCUUCUUCGUCUUCAUCCUUCAGCUCUUCAGGCUCCAACAGGGAGAGAGAUUUAUUUUCACAUCCAUCAUCCAGCUAUUGGCCUCUCUAUGUGUGAUGAUCGCAGUUUCCAUCUACACGGCUCAAAAAAACAGCUUUCAUGUGCCCAGUCUUCAGGAAGGCUCCUACGGCUCCUCCUAUAUCCUGGCCUGGAUCAGCUUCCCCAUGACUCUCAUCGGCGGCCUUAUGUACCUGGUGCUCAGGAAGCGCAAAUAGAUUUGAUGGGCUUGAGGCACAGGCACGCAAAUAUUCAAAGAUAUAAAACAGGAGCACUUGGACACAUUUGCAUAAAAACAUACACUCAGCCUUAACAAACAUGCACCCAGUCUCUCUCUAACGCUUAGAUUGUAUAACACCCUUGGAGAUUAAAAAAAAUACAUGUACACCACAAAUCCACAUUCAUUUCCAGUCUCAGGUUCAAAACCCAAUAAUCACACAGCUUUCUCCUUCCUGAUGGUAUAGUUUUCUCACGGAAUGUGCUCACUGCGAUGCACGAGGACUCGUGCAGGAGUGUAUUCAGUUGACGGGCUGUGCCACUCAGAAACAGUCGACUGGAUAUUCUUUAUAUUCAUGCAUGACAGCCACUAAAAUAUAUUUCUGGAAACAGUUAAGAAAUUGAAGAAAUACACCAUGAUACACAUUUGAUCUGCAGUAUGAAAAGUGUAGCAAUACUUUUGCCAUUUAGUAACUGUGCUGGAUAGAUUCAUUUACAUGGAGUUGAGGUCAAAUCUACACAAUUUAAAUGCGGAUCAGCAAAUGCACCACACAGGCACCUCGCUGCAUUCAGCACUCACUCCCUGCUCUGCAUAGAAAAGGCCCCUGAGGCUCCUUGCUGCGUUUAGUGAGAACGUGCCUUCGCUAUCCUUUUCCAACUUUCCCCCUGAGCCCCCACACAAUUGUUCCAACAUAUUGAUUAGUCUUUUCCUCUUGUUUCAUUGUGUCCGGUUUCCCACCUACCAGCUCCAUUUAUAGGAACCUGUCUGAAAUGUCCAAUCACAAAGGAUAAAAACUGAAGACCAGUGGGAAGAUAUGUCUUUCUGGGACUUUCCAAAGGGUCCAUACUAUUGUUUGUGAAUUUAUUUUUUAUAUAUAAGCUGUGUGUAUAGUUCAGCUAAUUGCCAAAAGCUUUUUUUUCUAAGACUGAAAUACUAAAGCUAUAUAUGAUAGAAAGAAAAAGAAAAAAAAAGAGAGCAUCUAAUGUUAACCAUAGCAUGCAGGAAGUGUAGGCCGGCACUAGUAGAAGUAGAAUAUGUAGGAUCGUAACACGUUGUUUGUAUUCUUCUGUUACUGACUUGUGUUUUAAUGAUGAAAAAGGAACCGUUAAUGUGCUGUGAUAUUUGUGAUUUUUAAAUGACAACAUAGGAACACGCAAACUUGAAAUAAGAAUGAACAUUUCUUUGUUAUGUUAUUAUUAUUAUGCUUGUUUUGUUCACAGCUUCACUGAGAAAAAGGCAAAGGCUAUUUAUUGUUUGAAACCACUGUUGUGUACUUUAGCAUUGUGCGACUGAGGGUGUAUGAAGUAAUUGAGUCUUGCCUUCUCUAGCCGGGCUACUGUAUAUUUGGUCCAUUACUGAAACAUCUCUAUCGCCCCUAUGCACAUGUGUGCUCUGGAAAUUAACAACAAUAAAUGUGUUACUGUACUGUACCUGCCACCAAUUCCCAGUAUGACUUUCAGCCUUUGUGGGGCAUGCAGUCUGACUGAUCCCACAGUAACACUGUAUAAACUCUUUUCUUUUUUAUUCUUGUGUUGGUUUGGGAGUUAAACAGUGAAGGGUAAAGCUUUUAAAGUGACAGAAACAAGUUUAAAACUGUGAUGAAAACCUCUUAAGAGGCCCAAAUGCAUGGAAAUUCUCCUAAGAAACUUCUUUAACACUGUUUAAGUGACAGAAACUAAAUUAAAACGUAAUGAAAACCUCUUUACAAGGGAGAACAGUGGGGUACUACUGUAAUGCAUGCAGCUUGGAUCAGAUUGAUGGAUCCUUCAAGGGUGCCCUGGGUUGUUUUGUGAUAGUAAUAUGUUCAUUUUGGGCAACAUUUGGACCAUACAGUCUGGCAGCUUAUUACUCCAAUAAUGAAGAUUCAGGGAAAAGAAAUGGAACUGAAGAUCAAGAUCUCUAUCAAGCUAUCUCAAGACAAUACUUGAAAAUGAUCAAAACAACAUAUUGGAGGCCAAGAUUGUGAUGUUUGUCGUUAAAAUGUUUUGCGAAGUUGUCACACUAAAUAAUAGGCUAAGUCUCCUGUUUGCAUGCAGGUUUUUGGCUUUCAGCAGAUCUUGUCUGAACUUAUUUUGACAUGAAAAGUGAGUUGCUGCAGUACAGCAGGAGGCUGGUUGGAUCUAGUUGGAUUGGUUGGAUCUGUUUGAUUUAGCUCUGGUGAUUUCAGUACACAUCUAAAUCUAAAGAACUUGGACUUAAGUUCCCUGCAGACUCUGUUGCAGAUGGUCAACGGCAAUCACCUCAAAACGUUUUGUUAUGAUUCUUAAUUUGGAAUUGGAAACGUUUUGGUUUAUAGCUGUGAUCAUUUUCCUGUAGUCUCUUUAACAUGUAUGUCAAUGUAGAUGUACUGUAUCUAAGGCAAUGUCGAUCUAUACAAUAACAACAGCACUGCAGUAAGAAUAUGAGUUCUUACCCCAAACUGUAUUUAUAGGGAUUUGUUUGUAAAAUGACAUUGCAGUUGAAAUAUUUCUAUGGCUUAAUGAAGUAUUACUUCCACAUUGA